rnacentral:misc_RNA from 1 species
AAAAAUUCCUUAGCAAAAUUUUUGAGUGUAUAAAAAAUGAAAGACCCUAAUGGAUCAAUUAAGGCAACAUCUAGUCAAAAUGGGUCGGUUAGAUUUAACUGUUAAAGUUCUCAACCUUUCUCCCAAGGUGACAGUCGCUGAGUUGAAUAGCUUCUUCUCUUACUGUGGAACUGUUGAGAAGAUCCAGCUUCAAAAGUAAAGAAAGUUUUGUUCAUUAAUCUUUAUAUACAUGUAUAUGUAUAAUUCUAAUAGCUAUAAUGAUUUGAUGUCGUCUGGCCUGGUGGUUAAUUGCCAGAAACAAAGACCAAUUACGGGCUUUAGUGACUUUCAGGCAGCCAUAUGCGUUUCAGACUGCACUUCUCCUUAAUGUAAGCAUGAAAGGGUCUUAAAGUUCUAUUCUUGCUCGCAUUCAUUGUGAUAUAUAUUCUGAAGCUUUAUGCUUGAAAAUUUAGAAAUCCAUUUUUGCAGGAUGCAGUCCUUCCAAGCGGUCAAAAAAUUAGCAUACCAGAUCCAGAUUUGAUUACUGAAACUGAGGUAUUCAAUUCAUGAGUGGGAAGCAGGAUUAUUAUUAGCAGCUUUAAAGUUGUACAUGCAUGUUACAAGUUUCAAAAAAAUUGGUUAAUUCAUUUCAAUAAGACACAUAUUAAUGAACAUCGUCUGUGAUUUACAGAAUCGCGAGGGGAGUGAAUCUAUUCCAGCAUUCCAAGCUGCAGCAAUAGAAAGUAUGGCUUCAAAAGGUGUUGGAAUGUUGAAGAAGACCAAAGAUGAGCUAGAGGAGAAUUUGAAGCUUUCAGAGAAAGGAAAAGUGGCGGUGGGCAGAACAAGAACAGCCGUUAAUGUUGCAGGGCAGACAAUAGAACGUAUAGGUAGGACAAUCAAGAGCAAUGACAUAAUUUCAACAGCUGCUCUUUGGAUCUCUGACUCACUAGAUAAAGCUUCUAAGAGUGUUUCAACUCUGGCCAGUGGCAAAACCAAUAACCCAAACUCUAGGAAGCAGAAAUAAGUAAGCCACUUAUGGUGACUCUUACAACUGCCUGUAGAAUAUUAUUUGGGAGAUUUUUGCAUAUUGUAGUUGAUGUGUCUUUGUAAAACCUUCAGUAUCUUGUGAUCUAGUAAUAAAUAAUGGAUAGAUUUUGUAUCUUGUUAAUUUAUUUUGUAAAAAAAAUAUUAUAUGCAGG